AUUAAAUAUAUAGGAAUAAAAUAUUAGUUCAAGUGCUGUUAAUGAUGAAUAAUUACUUUAUGUAAUAAUACAAAUUAAUUCUGUUAGUCCAAAAUAAAAAUGUAGCAUUGUUCCUGUAAAGAUAUCCAUGUUUCCACACAAACCAGCGUGGUGGCCUAAUCAUAAAGCACCCAAAAAUACAAUACAAUAAAACCACUGACAGGUGGCGUGAAUAACAUUGAUCACCAUGUUACAGUGUAAUGUUCUGCAGGGAAAACUUUGGUCCAGGUGGAUGCCACUUGACAUGCACGGCCCACCCAAACACCGCUGUGCACCAAGUACACCCCAUCAUAGCAAUGCAGGCAGCAAUGAUCCUACAAGAACUGUUUAGGAAUGGCCCGAGGAAUGUGACAGAGACGUCGACCUGGCCUCAGAAUUCCCCACAUCCCAAUCUGAUUGAUCACCAAUCUCAAUCAAAACUGUGGGCCCCCUUUAGAUCUGACCUGCCUCUGACCCGUUGAGUCAUACAGGAUGUCUGGGGGUGUCCUGUGGUGUUUGGCACUGGGGUUGUGGAUCCUUUGAGCCCUGCAGGUUGUGAAGUGGGGUACCAGUAUGUCCCACAGGUGCUUGAUCAAAUUGAGAUGUGGAGACCUUGGAGGCCAGGGCAGUGCCUUGAGCUCUUUGUCAUGUUCCUUGGGCCCUUUCUGAGCAGUUUUUGCGGUGUGACACGAAGCAUUAUUGGGGGGGACACUACCAUCAAGGGAGUGUCAUUGCCAUGAGGAGUGACGCGCUUGGUCUGCACUUGGUCUGGGUGGAACGUGUCAGGUCAUUACGUAAUAGUGAGUGAAAGUCAACGACGGGAAGUGAAAGGGGGAAGUGGUCCUAAUGAUACACAGCAUGGCUCGACUCGGUCAUGGUGAUCCUCUCAUCACGUUUGAUUAGUAGUUCCACUUCCCUUAAGCCCUUCGUGUCAUUUUGUGUCGUGUCGUGUCGUGUCGUGUCAUAUCGUAUCGUGUCAUGUCUUGUCGGUCUGUGUCUUCUGAAAUGUUGCACACUAGUUGAUUUACAGGUUGUUUAAAACAACAAAUAAAAACACAUUCCAGGUUGUCAGAAGAGUAAAAGGAGGCCAGGGACAGUCUUUUUGACAUUUGAGGUGUUAGGGGAGUUGACAUAAUAACAGGAUGCUGUGGCCUCGAUGGUACACACUCCAGUUUUAGGUGUGAUACAGCCCCCGAGUCUGUCAGUCUGCAGUCAAGCAUCAUGGCGAUAACAACUCUGUGCGCUGUCGUGGCCGCUCUGAGAGUCCUUCCCGACAGAUCCCAGUUCUUCCAGUACGAGUCCGUCUCUCUGAGCUGUGAGCAGCAGGGAAACUCUUCUGACUGGACAGUUAAGAGGAACACAACUGUAAACCGAGAGCGUUCUGGAACUUGGAAUAAUAUGAAUGAGUCCCACUGCUUCAUUGAUGUCCUUUACCCAUUAGACACAGGAGUGUACUGGUGUGAGUCUGCAGCAGGAGAGUGCAGCAACACCGUCAACAUCUUUGUGACUGCUGGUUCAGUGAUCUUGGACAGCCCAGUCCUUCCUGUGAUGGUGGGAGAUGCCGUGACUCUGAGCUGCAGAGCAAAGACGACUUUCCCCAAUCUCACAGCUGACUUCUAUAAAGAUGGCGUCUUCAUCAGGAGCAGCUCUACAGGAAACAUGACCAUCCACAGUGUUUCUCUGUUUGAUGAAGGAUUCUAUAAGUGCGGAAUCUCUGGAGCUGGAGAAUCACCAGACAGCUGGCUGACUGUCAGAGGAAGCCGUCCUGAGCUGCCUGACUCCCCUAUCACACACAUUAUACUUCCUGUGGUGGGUGCCUGCCUCUCGCUGGUCUCGCUGGUCUGUGUGAUGCUGCUGUGCCUCUGGAGGAACCACAAAGGUAAAGUCGACCCUGAUGUCCCCUACACUGAUGUCACCAUCACACAGGAAGUGCAGCCAAACAGGAUCAGAGGUAAACACACAAUAACCACACUCAGAUACAUUCUCAUCUACCUGUUCCCAAAAAUAAUUACAAAAAACUACAAAAUUACUCUUAAAUAAUCGUAUAAGAUUUAAACUGUAAGACUUCAGCUCUUCUACUGUAAAACAGUCAACUUACCCGUGUCUUUGUGUCUAUGUGUCUGUGUGUGUGUGUGUUUGAGUAUCAGCGACUGCAACAUGACUCAUUUCUUCCACUGUGUCAUGUGUUAUGUUACGCCCAUCAGGCUCAUGUGUGUUUGUUAAUGUCUGCCUGAAACGGAAGUUCUGCCCUCUCACGCAUUUUUUUCCUGCGCUCUCAUUGGUCCAACUUGAUGUCAUAAAAACUAUCACCAAGGUUACCAGACAAAACACUUGGCACCAGAUCGCGGCUCCACCCUGAACUGCAUCACCACAGAGACUCACCUACUAUUAUUAGACUGACUGAGUUUCUAUUUUUAACUUUUAUUGAUCUGAAGUGACAUCAUCAAUAUGAUAAAACCAUGAGGAAAAACAAAAACAUUGACAUAGAAGGAUAAAUAUUAUGGUUAUAAAACAAACAAUUAAUACUUUAUGACUGUAGAAAGUAACUAAGAUAUAUUUAGUCAAGUCUGUGUGUUACUUCUACAUGCACAGUUCUGUUUUUAUUUUCAAUCAAUCAAUCAAUCAAUCAAUCUUUAUUUUAAACUCAGAAAUAGGUCCAUAUAAAAUAUAUAUUAUAUUUAUAUAUAUUUUAUUGUUUGAUUCCAGAGCCGGUUCAGACCUCUAUGGGGCCCUAGGCAAAAUUCUGCAAAGGGGCCCUCCUCACUGAAUUCAACAGCACCUGACACCGCAGUGCUUCCACUCAUCCCCCCUUUAAACAUAUUGCACUGUCACCACGACGCCACCUGUUGGUCUAACUAAGAAUAAAAUCAGAACAAAUUAGAACAAAUCAAAUCAAAUUUAAUGUGUAAACAAACAAUCUAAGUAAUCUAAAUCAAAGUAACAGCGUCUACACACACAAGAGCACAAAGACUGAAGGUCAAUAGAUAGAUGGACACAUUUACACAUCACAUAUAGUCAUAAUAGAAAAGGAUGUGUAUUGAUACAACCUACAUAGUUAGCUCACCAUUAAAAGUGUCCCUUUCCCUCCCACUCUCUCACACAGAGAGGGAAGUUACCUGACUGCUGCUCCCGAAGCUCAUUGUCAUGCAGUUUCUUUUUCCUCUUUUCAUAUCCAGAAGGGAAACUGCGCUUCAUCGUGGCCUGUCCCUUUUGUGCGCUGGGAAUGCGGAGAGACACACGCGCGCUGCGGACGGUCACCUCGUCUUUUUUUUUUUUUUCUCCCCGCGUCAACGUUGCCGAGGUAACGGGGCCUCCAUUGGUUUGCGAGGCCCUACGCAACGCGCGUAGUGUGCGUAUUGGGUGAACCGGUACUGUUUGAUUCUAAUCUAAUAGAUUAUUCUUAAUAUUUUAUUUUACUUUAUCCCAGUUUAUCUCUCUGGCAGUCAUACAGAUAGUUACUAAUUAUGUUGCAGUUGUUGUGAAUCCACUGAUUGAAUUAAUAACAGUUCAUUUAAAAUUUUAUAUAAAAACAUUAACUUUAUAUGACGCAUUGUUACAAUUUAAACUAUCCUUUUUAUUUUUAGUUUCUAUUUUUUGUUUUGUGCCUGCACAUAUUGUUAUCUGGUUUCUUUCACAGUCACUUGAGUUAUGGACAAACGUUUUAUUUUCUCUUUGAAAAUAACCUGAUACUGUUCUUCUAAAACACUCCUUUGUUCUCUGUUUACUGGUAGUAUCAAUACGUCACACAGCUGAAACACAUUGGACCACCUGGUUCAUGUUGUGAAACCGUCACGGUUAUGUUUAGGAAACAAAACUUCUUGUUGACAUCACAUGGAAAUUACGUUAUGCUACAACACUUUUGUUUUUAGAUGCGACAUGAACUACAGUGUUCUGCAUGACAGUAGGUUAAAGUCUUAUUUCAUCUGGCCUGUCCACAUCCUGCCACUCGCUCUACACAGACUCUCUCUCUGCUCUCAGCGUCAGAUAUGGCAGAGGGAUUUACCAGGUGCGUGUCUUUAAAAGUUAAAGGGUGCCUCUGGCGUCGAUAAAGCACACAGAGGAUCAUGACAAUGCCUCUGUAUUUGACAACCUGGAAAUGAGAGCAUGCUGAUGUGGAGGCUGCACCGACCUUCUACUCAACAGUGAAACCUGGAAACACCUGACAGGAAACAGCAGCCGUGAUGGGGAAAUGUAUAUUUACACUUGGAUUUAACAGGAGAAAUGUUCUGUGUGCUUUUACAGACAUUUUCUGACCAGCCUGCCUGAAAACUGUCCAUGUUUUCAGCACAGGCGUAGACGCCGCAUUGACUGUCAGACCAUUGCAGCAAUACAUCAGUGUUGCCACCAUAUUGAGAGGUUAACACUUGCCUGUAAACAAAUGAAUGCAAUGUGGAGAGCGCAUUCUUUUUCUGAAUAAAAAGCACUGUAACGUUUCUCAACAGGUUUCAAUGAGUUGUUUUUUAUAUUCACGCAUUU